rnacentral:rRNA from 1 species
UGCGAUGGGGGGACGGAGCAGGCUAAACAAGCAUGGCGUUGGUUGUCCAUGUGAAAGUGAGUAGGUUGGUGACUUAGGAAAAUCCGGGUUGCUAAGACUGAGACACGAGACGAGCCACUAAGGUGGUGAAGUUGUUGAUGCCAUACUUCCAGGAAAAGCCUCUAAGCUUCAGAUUAUACCGAAUCGUACCCCAAACCGACACAGGUGGUCAGGUAGAGAAUACUAAGGCGCUUGAGAGAACUCGGGUGAAGGAACUAGGCAAAAUUGUACCGUAACUUCGGGAGAAGGUACGCUCCUAUCUGUGAUGAGACUUGCUCUCUAAGCGGACGGGAGCCGCAGUGACCAGGUGGCUGGGACUGUUUAUUAAAAACACAGCACUGUGCAAAAUCGCAAGAUGACGUAUACGGUGUGACACCUGCCCGGUGCCGGAAGGUUAAUUGAUGGGGUUAGUUUUCGGACGAAGCUCUUGAUCGAAGCCCCGGUAAACGGCGGCCGUAACUAUAACGGUCCUAAGGUAGCGAAAUUCCUUGUCGGGUAAGUUCCGACCUGCACGAAUGGUGUAACCAUGGCCACGCUGUCUCCACCCGAGACUCAGUGAAAUUGAAAUCGCAGUGAAGAUGCUGUGUACCCGCGGCUAGACGGAAAGACCCCGUGAACCUUUACUACAGCUUGGCACUGAACAUUGACCCUACAUGUGUAGGAUAGGUGGGAGGCUUUGAAGCAGAAACGCUAGUUUUUGUGGAGCCGUCCUUGAAAUACCACCCUUGUAGUGUUGAUGUUCUAACGUUGGCCCCUAAUCGGGGUUACGGACAGUGCCUGGUGGGUAGUUUGACUGGGGCGGUCUCCUCCCAAAGAGUAACGGAGGAGCACGAAGGUUGGCUAAGUACGGUCGGACAUCGUACGGUUAGUGUAAUGGUAGAAGCCAGCUUAACUGCGAGACAGACACGUCGAGCAGGUACGAAAGUAGGUCAUAGUGAUCCGGUGGUUCUGAAUGGAAGGGCCAUCGCUCAACGGAUAAAAGGUACUCCGGGGAUAACAGGCUGAUACCGCCCAAGAGUUCAUAUCGACGGCGGUGUUUGGCACCUCGAUGUCGGCUCAUCACAUCCUGGGGCUGAAGUCGGUCCCAAGGGUAUGGCUGUUCGCCAUUUAAAGUGGUACGCGAGCUGGGUUUAGAACGUCGUGAGACAGUUCGGUCCCUAUCUGCCGUGGGCGUUUGAGAAUUGAGAGGGGUUGCUCCUAGUACGAGAGGACCGGAGUGAACGAACCGCUGGUGUUCGGGUUGUCAUGCCAAUGGCACUGCCCGGUAGCUACGUUCGGAACUGAUAAGCGCUGAAAGCAUCUAAGCGCGAAGCAGGCCUCGAGAUGAGUUCUCACUAGACUUUUAAAGUCUCUGAAGGGCCGUUGAAGACUACAACGUUGAUAGGCAGGAUGUGGAAGUGGUGUGAGCCAUUAAGCUAACCUGUACUAAUUACCCGUGAGGCUUAACCAUACAACGCCAAACGCGUUU